UCUCAGAUGGUCCAGUGGCUAAGAUUUCCGCCUGUCAAAGCCACAAUGUGGCUAAUGGUUCGCGGACGACCGGGGUUCGAUUCCCCGUCUGAGAG
rnacentral:tRNA from 2 species